UAAUACUUGGGCAAUCUACCCUCGAGAGGGAAACAACCGGCCGAAAGGCUGGCUAAUGUCCCAUAAGACCACAGGAUGGCAUCAUCCAGGGGUCAAAGCUCCGCAAGGGGCGCUUGAAGAGGAACCCGAGUCCUAUCAGCUAGUUGGUGAGGUAACGGCUCACCAAGGCUUUGACGGGUAGCCGGCCUGAAAGGGUGAUCGGCCACACUGGCACUGAGACACGGGCCAG
rnacentral:rRNA from 1 species